GACGAACGCUGGCGGCGUGCUUAACACAUGCAAGUCGAACGGGAAGGUCUCUUCGGAGAUACUCGGGUGGCGAACGGGUGAGUAACACGUGGGUAAUCUGCCCUGCACUUCGGGAUAAGCCUGGGAAACUGGGUCUAAUACCGAAUAUGACCACGAGACGCAUGUCUUGUGGUGGAAAGCUUUUGCGGUGUGGGAUGGGCCCGCGGCCUAUCAGCUUGUUGGUGGGGUGAUGGCCUACCAAGGCGACGACGGGUAGCCGGCCUGAGAGGGUGUCCGGCCACACUGGGACUGAGAUACGGCCCAGACUCCUACGGGAGGCAGCAGUGGGGAAUAUUGCACAAUGGGCGCAAGCCUGAUGCAGCGACGCCGCGUGGGGGAUGACGGCCUUCGGGUUGUAAACCUCUUUCACCAUUGACGAAGGUUCGGGUUUUCUCGGAUUGACGGUAGGUGGAGAAGAAGCACCGGCCGACUACGUGCCAGCAGCCGCGGUAAUACGUAGGGUGCGAGCGUUGUCCGGAAUUACUGGGCGUAAAGAGCUCGUAGGUGGUUUGUCGCGUUGUUCGUGAAAUCUCACGGCUUAACUGUGAGCGUGCGGGCGAUACGGGCAGACUAGAGUACUGCAGGGGAGACUGGAAUUCCUGGUGUAGCGGUGGAAUGCGCAGAUAUCAGGAGGAACACCGGUGGCGAAGGCGGGUCUCUGGGCAGUAACUGACGCUGAGGAGCGAAAGCGUGGGGAGCGAACAGGAUUAGAUACCCUGGUAGUCCACGCCGUAAACGGUGGGUACUAGGUGUGGGUUUCCUUCCUUGGGAUCCGUGCCGUAGCUAACGCAUUAAGUACCCCGCCUGGGGAGUACGGCCGCAAGGCUAAAACUCAAAGAAAUUGACGGGGGCCCGCACAAGCGGCGGAGCAUGUGGAUUAAUUCGAUGCAACGCGAAGAACCUUACCUGGGUUUGACAUGCACAGGACGCGUCUAGAGAUAGGCGUUCCCUUGUGGCCUGUGUGCAGGUGGUGCAUGGCUGUCGUCAGCUCGUGUCGUGAGAUGUUGGGUUAAGUCCCGCAACGAGCGCAACCCUUGUCUCAUGUUGCCAGCGGGUAAUGCCGGGGACUCGUGAGAGACUGCCGGGGUCAACUCGGAGGAAGGUGGGGAUGACGUCAAGUCAUCAUGCCCCUUAUGUCCAGGGCUUCACACAUGCUACAAUGGCCGGUACAAAGGGCUGCGAUGCCGCGAGGUUGAGCGAAUCCUUUUAAAGCCGGUCUCAGUUCGGAUCGGGGUCUGCAACUCGACCCCGUGAAGUCGGAGUCGCUAGUAAUCGCAGAUCAGCAACGCUGCGGUGAAUACGUUCCCGGGCCU
rnacentral:rRNA from 1 species